AAAGUGGUAGAGGAUACCGCUGAUCUGGUAUUGAAAGCGAACCUCCAACCGGUCCUCCACAUCUAAGCAAGAUGUGUCAUGGAAGAAGAUGAAGUUAUAGAGAAGAUUAGGCCUUGAUGUUCUACAGCAAGGUGGUGUGUAUUGGAUUCAGUGGUGUGAGAUAUGGUUCUGCUGCUCACCAACCAGUAGAAUUUGUUGUUGAUUUUCCAGGAGACAACGAGAAGGU